rnacentral:rRNA from 1 species
UACGUAGGGUGCGAGCGUUGUCCGGAAUUAUUGGGCGUAAAGGGCUCGUAGGCGGUCUGUCGCGUCAGGAGUGAAAACUCGGGGCUUAACCCCGAGCCUGCUUCUGAUACGGGCAGACUAGAGGUAUGCAGGGGAGAACGGAAUUCCUGGUGUAGCGGUGAAAUGCGCAGAUAUCAGGAGGAACACCGGUGGCGAAGGCGGUUCUCUGGGCAUUGCCUGACGCUGAGGAGCGAAAGUGUGGGGAGCGAACAGG